rnacentral:lncRNA from 1 species
UUGCUUCCAAUUGCUUCUACGGUGUGCUGGUGACGGGAGGGGAACAACCACCAUCUCUCUAUAUGUUUACCCAUUUACCAGGAAAUAUGUUUAUACUGUUUUCCAAUCAGGAUUUACCACAAGCCGGGAGUUCCACACCUAAUGACCAGGCCAAACCCAGCCCACUGUCAACAGAGAAAAGUCGGCCUCAAACAUGAGAGAUUUUAAAUCACAAUGGACGUUCGAGGAGCAUGACUGCCAGCACUGUGAGCAGCAGGGCUGUCUCCAGCCGUCGACAGGUGUCAGAAUGAGACAUGCCGACUGGAUUAAACAAUCAGACCAGGGCCUGGACCUGCGGGUGUCCAUCAUACUAAGCCUGGGGAGAAGUGAGUGUCCCAACAAGAAGUCCAAGAACUUCCUGUAAGAGAAGAGGGGGAAAUGGAAGUGCAAAUGCCCCCUACCCAGCAGAAGCGUGAGACCCCCAGUCUUGGAGAGCCUGGGGACCAGCAAGCCGAGACCCGAAGAAUGA